rnacentral:rRNA from 1 species
AUGCUUGUUGAGACAAACAAGCAUGAGCAAUAUCAUAUUGCUUACAAGCUUCUUAAGUUGGUGUUGAUUCUGCCAGUAGCUGCUGCUAGUGUUGAAAGAGUAUUCUCUUCAAUGAGCUAUGUGAAGAAUAAGCUAAGGAACAAAAUGGGCGAUGAUUAUUUGAACAAUUGUUUGGUUACAUUCGUUGAGAGAGAAUUUUUCAAUCAAGUGAAGGAUGAAGAUGUCAUCAAUCUGUUCCAAAAAGGCGACCUCAGAGUUAUAUUGUAA